rnacentral:tRNA from 1 species
CGAGUGUGCCGAAAAGGUAGCCGGGUGAAUCUUAGGAAUUCAUGAUUUUUAUCGUAAGAGUUCAAGUCUCUUUACUCGUA